GUCUCGCUCUGGUGGAAACCUCCAUCGCCUUAGUCAGCCUGCAUCCAGAUCAAUAUCAAGGUAGUAUGGCUACUGGAAUACCCUGCAAAAGUUGAAGAGAAGUACUUGCUGGAAACAACAAAGGACCUGGUUUCAAAGGAAACCUGAGAAGUUCAAGUCCUGGUUCUGAUCUGGAUGCCAGUUGUUUCACAGACUACAAGAGAAGAAAGAAGUGUCCAGGCACUGUACGAUAGUGCUG